UGAUGUCACAAUGCCGUGUCGGCUGUAUACUGGAUGAUCGGUCAAUAGAUUCUUUGAUAGAGAGUAAAGGAGAAGAGGCGACAUGGAUACUGAUUUGAUGCUUACUGUGGUGCUCACUGUCUUGGUCAGUGUUUUCCUUUGCGUCUUACUUGGUGCCAUCUGUUUCUUUCUGAGAAUGAAAAAGGAAAGAUGCAAAGAGGAAGAUGAUGAACUGAAAGAAGUUCUUA